rnacentral:lncRNA from 1 species
CUUGCCAUUUUGUUGGAAGUAUCUCCUUCCUUUGCUGGGAAAAAAAUUAUAUAGCAUUCUUACAUGUGCUUUCAGGCUUUAAAGAGCACACAUUGUAUGAAUUUUAAACUUAAUUUUUAGUUUAAUGUGCUACCUACUAUGAUUAUAUGUAGCUCAGUGAUUAUAUUCAUCUUAUAACAACGUAGAAAUCACCCAUAACAGCAUUUAAGCCAAUAAAUUCACAGUAUGCUCUAAACUCUUAUCUAAUUGGCUGCUGGAUCUUGCAUGUCAUAAUCACAUCAAACAACAGUAAGCAGUAUCUAGAGUUAACAGGAGGGGAUUUAUUUUUCAAUCUAAAGUUUUUCUCCUCUCUAAUAAGACCUCUGAAACUCAUAAGCCAUCUUUAAGAAUUUCUUACAAAAACAUGCUGGAAGACAGUGGAUCUUGUUUGUAUCCUGAAGAUUUUUUUCUCUUUGUUAUUUUAAAUUAAUUGUCAACAGAUGUGGAACUGUUGCGUUGGUUCUUAAGUCAUUCGGAGAAGGGAAAGAUGCAUCUACUCAAGGUUGGCACUUGGAGAAACAACACUGCCUUUUCCUGGCUUAUCGUGUUCAGUGUUCUUUGGCUUGUUAGUCAGAACUGUUGCAGAGCAAGUGUUGUUUGGACGGCUUAUAUGAACAUAUCAUUUCAUGUUGGGAAUCAUGUGUUGUCAGAGUUGGGAGAGACUGGAGUCUUUGGAAGAAGCUCCACUUUGAAGAGGGUGGCAGGAGUUAUAGUGCCACCAGAGGGAAAAAUCCAAAAUGCAUGUAAUCCCAAUACCAUUUUCAGCCGAUCAAAGUACUCAGAGACCUGGCUUGCACUUAUUGAACGGGGAGGUUGUACUUUCACACAGAAAAUUAAAGUGGCAGCUGAGAAGGGAGCCAGUGGAGUGAUCAUCUAUAACUUUCCAGGAACUGGCAACCAGGUGUUCCCCAUGUUUCAUCAGGCAUUUGAAGAUGUCGUCGUGGUUAUGAUUGGUAACAUAAAAGGCACGGAAAUUUUCCAUUUAAUUAAGAAGGGAGUUCUCGUUACAGCCAUGGUUGAGACUUUGUUUAGCGAGGAUUCAGAACCGGAGAUGGCAGCGAUUAACAACAGAUCUUCAGAAUGCAUUUGGACAACUCCAACUUCGAGUGGAACCUCAGAUAAAGUAAUCCAUGUGGAGGAGAACCCUACUUCUCAGAAUAAUGACAGCCAGCCUCAUUCAGUAGUGGAAGAUGUUUAUCCUUCACUGUGAUGGCCUGACUUUUGAGGAAGUGUAUUAAACCUGUAUGUGAAAUCAGAUCCUGAUACUGACAAGCAGUUUGUCUGUUUGAAGUGUGGUUUUUGUGUCAUUUUUUGUUACUUCAGUAAUUUUCUACAUUCUUUGUUAAACCUCAAAGACAGAAAAAAAGUCCUAGCAGGAUUUUUUUGUUUAAUUUUGGACCUUUGCUAAGUGUAAUUUUUUGUCAGUGUAUGUUACUCCUGUGAGUAUACAUAUGUAUAUUUGUAUGUCGCAUCCAUGUUAAAGCUAAGGACAAACUUAUUUUCUUAAAUAUUUUCUGUACAUAUAUUGGGCUCUAUUUUGGUAAAAAUAUUACUGAUAUAUUUGUAUGUUUGUUCUAAUACAGAAACUAUCAAUUAAGUUUGAAAACAAUUUAUCUUUUAUGUGCUAGGAAGAGUAAAAAUUAUCUUUUGAUAACAUAUUUAUAGUAUGUCUUAGUUGUGA